GGGAAAUGAAUUGAGGAGAGAGAUUUUAUUUUAUUUACUGAUUAAAGGAAAGGAAAGAGAAAAAGAAAAUAAUAAUAAUAAUAAUAAGCCUCUUGAUUGCAUCUACCCCAUCUUACUAUUCAUCUUCAUCUUCUUUCCCAAUCAAAGAUAACCCUAGUGUCGCCAGCCUACCUCAUCACUGUUCGAGUUCCACCAUCUUCGUUCACCGUCACGUCUCUCCGUCACUAUGAAGCCGAAGCAUCUCCAUCUCUCUGUUCGCCUGAAGUCGACUGUCACUCCGUCAUUCUCCAUCAAGUGAUUGCUUCUCCUUUGCGUCCUUUGUUCUGUCAGGCAAGCCCGUCAUCGGUUUCCAUUUCCUUCUCGUUGUUGUGGUUUGAGUUUCCCCUCCACACGAUGUCGUCAAUUCCCCCAUCGGUCGGUCGUCACAUUUAUCAGUCAAGUUCCCCAAAAUCAAGUCAGCCUUCUCAUGCGUGAGCCACUGCUACCUGUCUCUCUGCUAAUUCAAGUCGCGCCCUUCUUCCUCUUCCAGCUAAGAGCAAGUUGUGCCAUCCUUUUAGUCGAGUCGCAGAGGUACAAGUAGAGGAAAGUUGGCAAAUGACAAAAAUUUUAUGCUUUCGCUUUAUGUUCACAGUAUUUUAGUAUUUUUAUUUGAAUUUAUCGAACUCAUAAAUUAUUUUAUGUUAUUUUUCUUGAUAGGGUUCGAACUAGGAUUAAAUUUUCUAAGUAUUUAUUUGUAUUUUUCAAAUUAUGAUUUAUGAGUGGGCAUUUGAAAUUAUUUA